GUGGAAGAUGGGUUUGACCCCCAAUCGAUUCUAAAUAAAUACACCUCCCUUCGUGGAUAUAUCCACUCACCCUUUGGAAAUCUUUUAAGUGAAGGAACAUAUCGUUCGUACGUCACGCAGAUAGAAAACGGUGAAGUACGGGAAAGUUUACCUUAUAGGAGUUCAGCCCGUUAGUCAGCUUUACGUAUAACUGCUUCUUCAGGUACAAUUUAUUUGUCAGCGUUUUGGACAUGUAUAGGCUUUCC
rnacentral:lncRNA from 1 species